AUAUUAUAUGUUUCUUUCAUUUACAGCAAAUUUCGUUGACUACACGAGGCAAGGGUUGUUAGACAUGACAUGUCUACAAGCUAUAAGUGACGUUAAAAAGACAAAAAUUGCAGAAAGGACCAAUCUCACUAAUACCGAUAACAAAUCCCACGAUGUUCAUAUAUUACGUGAUAAACUCGAAAACGCAUGUCGAAAGGCAUCCUUCGAUAAAUGCAAUAAAGCUUGCAAAUCCGCAAGCGACAAAACUUGCAAAAAACAUGAAUGUAUUUCUGCGAAGGAAAAGGUUUUGAGGAAAAGUUGCAAAAGACGAUGUAUGGACAGCUAUGGAUAUCGAGAAAACAGUUCCAGUGAGAGUGACUCAGAUGACGACUCGGAUGAAGAUUCAGGCAGUGAUUAAAUUAAUUUAAAAUAAUUAUACGAG